AUACAGAGGGUGCAAGCGUUAAUCGGAUUUACUGGGCGUAAAGCGCGCGUAGGUGGCUAAUUAAGUCAAAUGUGAAAUCCCCGAGCUUAACUUGGGAAUUGCAUUCGAUACUGGUUAGCUAGAGUAUGGGAGAGGAUGGUAGAAUUCCAGGUGUAGCGGUGAAAUGCGUAGAGAUCUGGAGGAAUACCGAUGGCGAAGGCAGCCAUCUGGCCUAAUACUGACACUGAGGUGCGAAAGCAUGGGGAGCAAACAGGAUUAGAUACCCGGGUAGUCCAUGUCGUAAACGAUGUCUACUAGCCGUUGGGGCCCUUGAGGCUUUAGUGGCGCAGCUAACGCGAUAAGUAGACCGCCUGGGGAGUACGGUCGCAAGACUAAAACUCAAAUGAAUUGACGGGG
rnacentral:rRNA from 1 species